AUUUAUAUAGUUUAAAUAAAACAUUUUAUUUUCAAUAAAAAAAUAAUAAAUUUUAUUUAUAAAUC
rnacentral:tRNA from 3 species